rfam:Oryza sativa (indica cultivar-group) chromosome 12, whole genome shotgun sequence.
AAAAAGACAAACCUGAUUUCCGUGUCCAACGUUGACCCGUCCCGUCUUAUUUAANAAAAAUUAUGAAAAAAAAUUAAACAAGAUAAGUCAAGCAUAAAGUAUUAAUCAUGUUUUAUCAUCUAACAACAAUAAAAAUACUAAUUAUAAAAAAUUUUCAUAUAAGAUGGACAAUCAAACGUUGGCAUGGAAAUCCAGGGUUUGUCUUUUU